rnacentral:misc_RNA from 1 species
ACGGAGGCGGCGAAUAGCUCCGACGAACUCAGGCGAUGGGCCGACUACGCCGUCGCGCAAGCCAUAUCCGUCAAACAAGUCCUCGGCGCCACCGCUGACUCCGCCAUCACCGCCGUCGGAUCCGGCCUCACACACCUUCGCUCCGCCUCCUUGCACGGCCUCGACGAAGCCAAGGGCACGCUGGAAUUGGCAAAGAAUCAGUACGCCACUUACGAGAACCUGGCGAUUGAGAAGAUCAAAGUGGGCG